rnacentral:rRNA from 1 species
GUGCCAGCCGCCGCGGUAAUACGGAGGGUGCAAGCGUUAAUCGGAAUUACUGGGCGUAAAGCGCGCGUAGGCGGUUUGUUAAGCUAGAUGUGAAAUCCCCGGGCUCAACCUGGGAACUGCAUUUAGAACUGGCAGGCUAGAGUGUAGAAGAGGGGUGUGGAAUUUCCGGUGUAGCGGUGAAAUGCGUAGAGAUCGGAAGGAACACCAGUGGCGAAGGCGACACCCUGGUCUAACACUGACGCUGAGGUGCGAAAGCGUGGGUAGCAAACAGGAUUAGAAACCCCGGUAGUCC